AUUGAACGCUGGCGGCAGGCCUAACACAUGCAAGUCGAGCGGAUGAAGGGAGCUUGCUCCUGGAUUCAGCGGCGGACGGGUGAGUAAUGCCUAGGAAUCUGCCUGGUAGUUGGGGAUAACGUCCGGAAACGGGCGCUAAUACCGCAUACGUCCUGAGGGAGAAAGUGGGGGAUCUUCGGACCUCACGCUAUCAGAUGAGCCUAGGUCGGAUUAGCUAGUUGGUGGGGUAAAGGCCUACCAAGGCGACGAUCCGUAACUGGUCUGAGAGGAUGAUCAGUCACACUGGAACUGAGACACGGUACAGACUCCUACGGGAGGCAGCAGUGGGGAAUAUUGGACAAUGGGCGAAAGCCUGCUCCAGCCAUGCCGCGUGUGUGAAGAAGGUCCUCGGAUUGUAAAGCACUUUAAGUUGGGAGGAAGGGCAGUAAGUUAAUACAUUGCUGUUUUGACGUUACCAACAGAAUAAGCACCGGCUAACUUCGUG
rnacentral:rRNA from 1 species